AGCCUGAACGCUGGCGGCGUGGCUAAGACAUGCAAGUCGUACGGGCGUAGCAAUACGCCAGUGGCGAACGGGUGAGUAAUGUAUCGCUAACGUGCCCCCGAGUCAGGGAUAGCCGCCCGAAAGGGCGGGUAAUACCUGAUGAGACCCCGACCGGGCAUCCGGUCGUGCUCAAAGCAGCAAUGCGCUCAGGGAGCGGGCGAUAUCGUAUCAGCUAGUUGGUGGGGUAACGGCCCACCAAGGCGACGACGCGUAGCCGGACUGAGAGGUUGGCCGGCCACAUUGGGACUGAGACACUGCCCAGACUCCUACGGGGGGCUGCAGUAACGAAUCUUCCGCAAUGCACGAAAGUGUGACGGAGCGACGCCGCGUGUGGGACGAAGUCCUUCGGGAUGUAAACCACUGUCAGGGGUUACCAAGUUCUGAGGAGCCCCAGAGGAAGGCACGGCUAACUCUGUGCCAGCAGCCGC
rnacentral:rRNA from 1 species